rnacentral:tRNA from 1 species
GCCGAAGUGGUGGAACUGGUAGACACGCUGUGUUCAGGGCGCAGUGCUCGUAAGGGUGUGUGGGUUCGAAUCCCACCUUCGGCA